AGUGAACGCUGGCGGUGGGCCUAACACAUGCAAGUCGAGCGAACACACAGUAAGCUCUUGCCCCUACGGGUAGCGGCUGACGGACGGGUGAGGCAUACAUCAGCAUCCUAUAUUUCGUGGAGAACAACGUAGGAACAGUGACACUACUACAGAAUAUGUCCUACCGCUGAAAGCAGUAGAUCUUCGCACCUUUCCCGUUUGAUUUAGCUGAUGUCGCGCCGCAUUAGCUAGUUGGUAAGGUAACGGCCUACCAAGGCGACGAUGCGUAGCCGACCUGAGAGGGUGAUCGGCCACACUGGAACUGAGACACGGUCCAGACUCCUACGGGAGGCAGCAGUAGGGAAUCUUGCACAAUGGGCGCAAGCCUGACCGAGCCAUGCCGCGUGAGUGAUGAAGGUCUUCGGAUCGUAAAGCCCUUUUGUUAGGGAAGAAAAACAGUGUGUUAAUACCCGGCUGUCCUGACGGUACCCAAACAAAAAGCAACGGCUAACUUCGUG
rnacentral:rRNA from 1 species